AAUAGAUACCCGGGUAGUCCACGCCGUAAACGAUGAGUGCUAAGUGUUAGAGGGUUUCCGCCCUUUAGUGCUGCAGCUAACGCAUUAAGCACUCCGCCUGGGGAGUACGGUCGCAAGACUGAAACUCAAAGGAAUUGACGGGGGCCCGCACAAGCGGUGGAGCAUGUGGUUUAAUUCGAAGCAACGCGAAGAACCUUACCAGGUCUUGACAUCCUCUGACAACUCUAGAGAUAGAGCGUUCCCCUUCGGGGGGACAGAGUGACAGGUGGUGCAUGGUUGUCGUCAGCUCGUGUCGUGAGAUGUUGGGUUAAGUCCCGCAACGAGCGCAACCCUUGAUCUUAGUUGCCAGCAUUCAGUUGGGCACUCUAAGGUGACUGCCGGUGACAAACCGGAGGAAGGUGGGGAUGACGUCAAAUCAUCAUGCCCCUUAUGACCUGGGCUACACACGUGCUACAAUGGAUGGUACAAAGGGCUGCAAGACCGCGAGGUCAAGCCAAUCCCAUAAAACCAUUCUCAGUUCGGAUUGU
rnacentral:rRNA from 1 species